CGACUAUUUUUUUACUGCGACUGGAGGGAGUAUCUAACCUCGGCGAAAAGGGUGGCAAAUCCCAAUCCGACUGUCUCCGCCGGUGGUACCAACUCCGAGCAGAUCUCCCCUCUUCCUUCGAUUCGUGGUUGAAUUCGAUUCCGGAGCGGUCUUUCAACGAUCAGAGUCCCUAAGGUAAGAUCGCUGCAGAUCGCUGCUAGCUUUGUUCGUUCCGCCUCCACUCCAGCAAAUCAAAUGGAGCCUCCGCGCACAAGCCUCAAGUCUGGAUCUUGCGAUGAUCUGAAAAACGGGCGCAGAAAAAUGAUGGAGGAGUAUGAGGCUGGACUUGCUGGACUUUUGGAGCUUCAGGCGCUCGAGCGCGAGAUGCGCGAACUUGUCCCCGCAGCGACCAGCGCAAUCGCGCUCCUGGCCACUCCAAGGGUGGGUGAUACGAGGGAGACCUACUGCCAUGUUUGCCAUGAUGAAUUCGAGGAGGGGGACAAGCUGAGGGCGAUGCCCUGCGCCCACUCUUUCCAUCAGCGCUGUAUCUUCAGGGCGCUCAGUGUUAACCGUCUGUGCCCAGUCUGCAGCUACGAACUUCCGGGGGACUACUUGGAGAUGCCUUGAAACCGCUCAUGAAAGAUUGUUUCCUGUGAUCCUUUCUUAUGCAGCGUUAUGUAUAGUUCAUAAUUAUGCGUUUCUUUAUCUAUCUGUAGUGCAGAUCAGCAACUUUUGUCAUCUCCUUGGAGAAUAUUGCUCCUACAACAUUAUUCGGGUUAACUCUGCUAUUAUGCUAAACCUCAUCAGGAGGCAAUACAUUGUCUA